CAGCAGCCGCGGUAAUACGGAGGGGGCUAGCGUUGUUCGGAAUUACUGGGCGUAAGGCGCACGUAGGCGGCUUGGUAAGUUAGAGGUGAAAGCCUGGAGCUCAACUCCAGAAUUGCCUUUAAGACUGCCGAGCUAGCAGGUGAGAGAGGUAAGUGGAAUUCCGAGUGUAGAGGUGAAAUUCGUAGAUAUUCGGAAGAACACCAGUGGCGAAGGCGGCUUACUGGCUCAUACUGGACGCUGAGGUGCGAAAGCGUGGGGAGCAAACAGGAUUAGAUACCCCUGUAGUCCCUGUCUCUUAUAC
rnacentral:rRNA from 1 species